rnacentral:tRNA from 1 species
UCCCUGGUGGCUCAGAUGGUAAAGAAUCUGCCUGUAAUGCAGGAGACCCAGGUUCGAUCCCUGGGUAGAGAA